UACGUAGGGGGCAAGCGUUGUCCGGAUUUAUUGGGCGUAAAGAGCGUGUAGGCGGCUAUACAGGUCCGCUGUGAAAACUCGAGGCUCAACCUCGAGACGUCGGUGGAAACCGUAUGGCUAGAGUCCGGAAGAGGAGAGUGGAAUUCCUGGUGUAGCGGUGAAAUGCGCAGAUAUCAGGAAGAACACCCGUGGCGAAGGCGCUCUACUGGACCUGCACUGACACUGAGGGACGAAAGCUAGGGGAGCGAAUGGG
rnacentral:rRNA from 1 species